GUGUUCGAGUGUGUGUGAUCUACCGGAAUCGCGCGUGUGUAGAUGUGCGUAAGCGACAUGCUUUUGGGCGGGUACCUACCAAGCGAGGUAGGCUAAAUUUAAAUACAAUCAUACGCCGUACGAGUAAUCCGGCAUCCGUGCAGUUUUCGGGGAGAGAAUCUUCAUACUGGUUGUGGUUGUUUUUUUCUUCUCGAUCGUUCCCCAUCACAGCCCCACGUACACCCAAUUUCCUAUUUAUCUCGCUCUAGGGGGGCUGUCUCUUUUGUUGCUUCUGCACGUGUCACAAUAAAGUUUUGUCCAAAAAGCGUUGGAAAUCUUAAAUCUGUCCAAAAAUCAUUCGCAUUGAGGAAGAUAUGUUUUAAUGGCGUCAGGGAGCGAGGCAGGACAAGGAGGGGAGGUGAUCUAGACCGUCGGGGCUGAUGAUCACAGCAAGGUGUCAAUAAAAUAGUGUGAUCUUGCUAGACUUGAGGCGGACAAUGCCGGCCGCUUGUGACGAUACUAGAUUGUGCUAGAGAUUUUUAUUGCGUUUGCCGAGCGUCGGGCAAAAAUUUUGAAAUGUCACCCAACGCUCAUUAGCUGCCAGCAAUAUUUGCAAAUAGCAAACAUCAUCGACGAAAGUUCAUGAUCGAGUGGUUUUGUUUUAGUUUUUUUUUGCAGUAAUAUAACUUGAGGAACGCCGCAGAUGUCAAGCAGCUAUUUGCGAUGAUGAUGAAGUUCAUCGGAUGCUAUAAAGAUGCCAUAAGAGGAAAUGGAGAGUAUUUUUAUAGUAAAUUGAUGAUGAUAAAAAUUUUGCACUGAACGUUUCCAAGUAUAAUAAAGUCCCCAUAAAAAAGGGAAGGAUCUUAAAACCCUACCAUUAAUAGAAUAUCGUGGAAUUAAAGAAUGCAAAACGGAAGAAAAAAGUCGCAUCUGCACUAAAUCCUUCUUGCCUCUCGCCAAACAUUCGCACACGUUUUAAUACGCUGGUGUAAAAUCGACUUGCUAAGCUACUUUAAGCGAUAUUUGUUAACUAGCCCGUUUGAAGAUUAUCUGCCGCCGCUAAGAUGGCGAUAUUUUAUGCUUGCUUGGAUUAUUGCUCUUCCUGCAAAACGGCCAAGCCACCGUCUCAAUCGUCGGAACGAAAAAAAGAA